rnacentral:rRNA from 1 species
AUUGAACGCUGGCGGCAGGCCUAACACAUGCAAGUCGAACGAGUGGCGGACGGGUGAGUAAUGUAUGGGAAACUGCCUGAUGGCGGGGGAUAACUACUGGAAACGGUAGCUAAUACCGCAUACCAUCGGAUGUGCCCAGAUGGGAUUAGCUAGUAGGUGGGGUAAAAGCUCACCUAGGCGACGAUCCCUAGCUGGUCUGAGAGGAUGACCAGCCAUAUUGGAACUGUGACACGGUCCAGCCUGCUACGGGAGGCACCAGAGGGGAAUCUUGAACAGUAGGCGCAAACCUGACGCAGUCAGGCCGCGUGGAUGUAGAAAGUGUUCGGGUUGUGAAGUACUUCCAGCGGGGAUACGUUACCCGCACAAGAAGCACCGGCUAACUACGAGCCAGCAGCCGCGGUAAUUC